rnacentral:rRNA from 1 species
UACAGAGGGGGCAAGCGUUGUUCGGAAUUACUGGGCGUAAAGGGCGCGUAGGCGGCCUUCUAAGUCGAACGUGAAAUCCCCGGGCUCAACCCGGGAACUGCGUCCGAUACUGGAAGGCUUGAAUCCGGGAGAGGGAUGCGGAAUUCCAGGUGUAGCGGUGAAAUGCGCAGAUAUCAGGAGGAACACCCGUGGCGAAAGCGGCUCUCUGGGACGGUACUGACGCUGAGACGCGAAAGCGUGGGGAGCAAACAGG